rnacentral:misc_RNA from 1 species
AACGCACAUUGCGCCCCUUGGUAUUCCGAGGGGCAUGCCUGUUCGAGCGUCAUUUCAACCCCUCAAGCUCUGCUUGGUGUUGGGCAUCGCCGUUUUCGCGGCGGGCCUCAAAAUCAGUGGCGGUGCCGUCCGGGCUCUAAGCGUAGUAACAUCUCUCGCUCUGGAGACCUGGCGGUUGCUUGCCAGCGAAACCCCCCAAUUUCUCAAAGGUUGACCUCGGAUCAGGUAGGGAUACCCGCUGAACUUAA